AUUUAAAAAAAAAGUAUAAGAUAUUCAAAACAGAGGAAUUUUAUGAGAAAGAGGGAAAUGGAGGUCAUGGGAAGUAUGAUGGAGAAAGAAGCAGAGAAAAUAGAAAAUAACUCUAAGUAUACAAAAGAACAUUUCUUUUGGAUAAAAGCAGAAAUGGAGAUGUAUGAAAAGGAAAAGUGCAAUAGUGAGGAGCAGAGCACAGUAUGCGGUGGAGGGGGAAAGGUGCACAAAGUAUUUUCUGAAUUUAGAGAAAAAAAACAGAGAAAAAAUUAUAUUACAGAGUUGGAAAAUGAAGAAGGGGAAAAGGUAACAGAUUAUGUAGAAAUAAUAGAAGUAGUAGAAUCAUUUUAUAAGAAACUCUUCAAGAAAGAAAAUGUAAAACAAGAAUGUGUGGAUGAAGUUUUAAAUACUGUAAGUGCUAGUUUAUCUGAUUGUAGAAAGAAAUAAGUGUGAAGGAGACAUAAGUAUCGAAGAAAUAAAAGAAGCAAUAAAACAAACAAAGCCGAAUAAAAGUCCAGGAUCAGAUGGUUUAACGCAUGAGUUUUAUAAGACAUUCAUAGAGAUUUUAGCACCGAUAUUGAUUAGGUUAUUUAGGAGUAUGGAAGAGAGAAGUGAGGUACCAGAAUCAAUGGGUUUGGGGGUAAUUGCUAUUCUGUACAAGAAUAAAGGUAGUCCACUUAGUUUGAACAAUUACAGACCUUUAAGUCUUUUAAACACUGAUUAUAAAAUUCUGACAAAAGUUUUAGCUAAUAGAAUAAAAGGAGUAGUGGGGAGUAUAAUAUCGCCAAAUCAAGCAUACAGUAUACCAGGAAGGGACAUUACAGAUACAAUAUGUACAAUAAGGGAUGUAGUGGUAGUAUGGAUAAAGAUGGGGAAGGGGGUUUGGUUUUAUGCAUGGAUCUAAAUAAAGCCUUUGAUAGGGUAGAGCACGGUUUUAUGGAACAAACAAUGAGGAAAUUUGGAUUUGGGGAGAGGAUUCUGAGGUGGAUACAUCUGCUAUAUAAUAAUGCAAAAAGUUGUGUAAAAGUAAAUGGUGUUUUAACGAAUCCCUUUCCACUAGAAAGAUCAGUGAGGCAGGGAUGUCCGCUGUCUGCGAUGCUGUAUUCAAUGUCAGUUGAGCCGCUGGCAACACUGGUAAAGAGAGAUGGGGAAAUAAGAGGAAUUCCAGUACCACAUGGGGGAUUGAGUUUAAUUCACCAGUACGCAGAUGACACAACAUUUACAGUAAGAGAUAUGGAAAGUAUAAAAAGAAUAAUGAAACAUUUUGAAACAUACGGAAAAGCAUCAGGAGCAAAAAUUAAUAUAGAAAAAUCGGAAAUAAUGAGUAUAGGAGGGGUAGAUAUGAGCGGGUGGGAUACUACUUUUAAAGUCACAAAAGAAUACACAAGGAUUUUAGGAGUGAAUAUAGGAGUAAAUGCAAAAGAAGCAAGAGAUGCUACAUGGACAGGGAUUUUAAAUAAAAUAAAACAAGUAUUACGUUUUUGGAAAUUAAGAGAAUUAAGAUUAAGGGGUAAAGUAAUAGUUGUUAAUUCCUUGCUGCUUACUAAAUGUAAUUAUGUUUUGGGUGCAGUUGACUUGCCAGUUUUGGUGUUAAAUGAGAUGAAGGAGGUUCUGAAUAAUUUUUUAUGGGGAGGGAAAGGGGUUCAAAUAUAAAAAAAAUACAUUCAUAUCAGACUAUAUGGAAUGAGGUUUAAAGUUGAUCGAUUUAGAGGUCAAAAGAAAAGCAAUAAGAGUGAAAAUAAUGAAGAAGUACUUAUAUGAUAAAGUGGAAUAUGGAUGGAAAGGUUUUAUGAGAAACUUUUUGGAUAAAAGUAGUGGAUGCGGAGAAGAAAGGGUAUUCAUGGCCUUAAAGAAGCCAAUGUU